rnacentral:rRNA from 1 species
AUGUCGCAAUACUGGUGGGGAGAUGAGGAAAACCACAAGAGAAUGCAUUGGUUCGCAUGGUGGAAGAUGUGUGUGCCAAAUGAGAAAGGAGGUAUGGGGUUCCGGGAUAUUCACAGUUUUAACUUGGCUAUGUUGGCCAAGCAAUGCUGGAGGUUGAUUGAGAAUUUUGACUCACUCUGUGCUAGAGUUAUGAGAGCCAGAUAUUACCCUAGUGGUGACAUACUAAAUUAUGAACUAAAGAAAGGAUCGUCUUUUGUUUGGCAAAGUAUUUGGGCGGGGGUCCAAACCUUCAAGAAAGGUUACAUCUGGAGAGUGCGGGAUGGAACAAAGAUAAAUAUUUGGAGUGAUUGA